rnacentral:tRNA from 1 species
GGCGCCAUCGCCAAGUGGCUAAGGCAACGGUUUGCAAAACCGUCAUUCCCCGGUUCAAAUCCGGGUGGCGCCUCCA